AUAGCUUUCAAAUCAAAAGGAUAAAGGCAAAGAACAACACCACCAAAGAAGAAGGAAGGGCUAAGGAGCAUUCAAUUUCUCUUGAGUGUUUGUUUUCAGGUUGAUGCAAAGGACGGAAGCAGCCAGUUAUGAUCUUUAGCAUGUUGUUCAUAAGAUUUGUAUUUGUCUUUUGCAUCAGGAAUAUCCAAAGCUAGGUCAUCCAGAUUGUCGCUUACUCUUGUAAAACCUUUAGUCAUCUGAUUGGUAGUUAUCAAACCUUCAACGAAGCAUUUUUGUAG
rnacentral:lncRNA from 1 species